CAGCCCCUACGGGGCGCAGCAGUAGGGAAUCUUCCACAAUGGGCGAAAGCCUGAUGGAGCAACGCCGCGUGGGUGAAGAAGGUCUUCGGAUCGUAAAACCCUGUUGUUAGGGAAGAAAGUGCGUGAGAGUAACUGUUCACGUUUCGACGGUAUCUAACCAGAAAGCCACGGCUAACUACGUGCCAGCAGCCGCGGUAAUACGUAGGUGGCAAGCGUUGUCCGGAUUUACUGGGUGUAAAGGGCGUGCAGCCGGAGAGACAAGUCAGAUGUGAAAUCCGCGGGCUCAACCCGCGAACUGCAUUUGA
rnacentral:rRNA from 1 species